rnacentral:tRNA from 1 species
GCCUGGGUGGCUCAGUUGGUUAAGCAUCCGACUUCAGCUCAGGUCAUGAUCUCACAGUCCGUGGGUUUGAGCCCCACGUCGGGCU